rnacentral:lncRNA from 10 species
AAAAUGGUUUGUUUUCUCAAUCCUAGGGAUUGAUCAGUUACAGCUAGAGGCACUUAAGGCUUUGUCUUUAGAACCCCCAAAACGGACACUUGUUCAUCAGGGGUCCCUAGUGUAGAGAGUGAAUCGAUUCUGACCAUGAAGGGAAAAAGGAUCUCUACAGGCACAGAUUAGUAAAAAUGACCAUUUCAGAUAGGCAGUGGGGCCAAGAAGCAAAGAGAAUCUUGUAGAAAUCCCGUGCUGGAGGCAAGGUGCAUGUCUCUUUCAUUCUGAAUUCUUCCUAAGAUUCCUUUCUCUGUUAAUGUAACUUGAAAGUGAAUUUAUAAUAUCAUCAGAUACAUAUUUUACAGAUACAACAUAAUACACAGAUUCCUUGUUUUGAGUAGCUAAUUAGAAACUAUUUCUAUUUAAUAGAAAUGAAAAAAAGUCCCUGAAUAAAGCUUUUAUUUUUUCCAGGGUGGGAUGAAGAGGCAGAUUUAUAAAGCCAUACAGAGUCCCUUAACUCCUUAAUCAUUUAGACAGGUAGUCAAUUUUCUCAACAGAGGUCAUCCUUUGCCCUUAUAUUUGUAGAUGGGGUGGGGGAUCAGGCAGUAAGGCCAUAAUCAAACUCUUUGCUCUUAGAGACAAUGGAUACAACACAAAAUUUUUAUAAAACCAGAAAGUAAAGACAAGAAAAACAAAAAGAAAUGCC